CCGGGGAGUCGGCCUCGGGGCUCUGCUCUCCUACCUCAGUCUGCCCUACCCUGGAAUGGGGAAAAUGCGGACAUGCCACUCAGUCCGGCCGCGAACAGUGCUCCAGAACUCAGAGAGUUUUCCAGACGGGUGGAGAUCGCGUUCCCUGCCCGCCGAGGUCCCAUCGCUUCCCUGCUGGGAAGACAAAUGAGGCGCUUUAGCCGUCUCCACGGCCAGCCCCUCCCUCAUAACCCGAGAUUCUUUGUGGGCUCUUAGUCCAUAGCUGCCUUUGAGGUGGUGUAGACCUUGCUAACCAGGACGGCCCAGUAGGCAGAGCUCAUUUUUAUUCCUGUCUGCAAUCGUGCAAAAACGCCUCUUAUGGAAAAGCCAGAGCGCCAGGAGUCAGCAAAACACACUAAAGAUUGGGCAGUCACUGGGGAGAACACUCAGCCCGCCUGCACCCAGGUGAAAUAUACAGCCUUGUUGCUCACACAAAGCCUGUUUGGUGGUUUCUUCACACGGAUGCAUGUGACAUUUGGUGCUGAAGACCCAGGACAGGAGGACUCCUUUGGGAGACCAGUGCCCUGUUGUCGCCCUCACUCCGUGAGGAGAUCCACCUAUGAUCUCAGGUCCUCAGACCAACCAGCCCAAGGAACAUCUUGCCAAUUUCAAAUCGGGUAAGUGUGUCAGGCCUCUGAGUCCAAGCUAAGCCAUCAAAUCCCCUGUGACCUGCACGUGUACAUCCAGAUGACCUGAAGCAACUGAAGAUCCACAAAAGAAGUGAAAGUAGCCUUAACUGAUGACAUUCCACCAUUGUGAUUUGUUCCUGCCCCACGCUAACUGAUACCAUAUAUUCUUCCCCCGCCCUUGAGAAUGUACUUUGUACACCUAUCCCAAACCUAUAAGAACUAAUGAUAAUCCUACCACCCUUUGCUGACUCUCUUUUUGGACUCAGCCCGCCUGCACCCAGGUGAAAUAAACAGCCCUG
rnacentral:lncRNA from 1 species